rnacentral:rRNA from 1 species
AAGCGUUGUUCGGAUUCAUUGGGCGUAAAGGGGGCGUAGGUGGCGUCGUAAGUCGGGUGUGAAAUCUCGGGGCUUAACUCCGAAACUGCAUUCGAUACUGCGGUGCUUGAGGACUGGAGAGGAGACUGGAAUUUACGGUGUAGCAGUGAAAUGCGUAGAGAUCGUAAGGAAGACCAGUGGCGAAGGCGGGUCUCUGGAAAGUUCCUGACACUGAGGCACGAAGGCCAGGGGAGCAAACGGG